rnacentral:rRNA from 1 species
AUCCGUGACCAGCAGGGCGGCGUGUGUAAUUCUCCUGGAAAGAGGUGCAAUGAAUGGUGAAAGCCCAGUUCAACACACGUCUCGCGCUGCGUACCGUCCGGAAUCUCGGAGUCGCGUUCCCUGGGACGGGAGCGUAAAUCAGAUGGUAUAUUUCAUCUAAAGCUAAAUAUCUUCUCGAGACCGAUAGAGAACAAGUACCAUGAGGGAAAGAUGAAAAGUACUUUGAAAAGAGGGUUAGACGCGCCUGCAACCACUGUAUUACAAGCACUUGGAUCCUUCCAGUUUACUGGAUCAGCGAGUCCCCACCGGGUGUGCAGCGCUGGCCAACCAAGGUCACGCUCGUCCCCAUUCCGGGCUCGUGGAAUCCGGUAGAUAUUAUCGGCGCAACUAGCA